rnacentral:lncRNA from 1 species
GUACACUUCUCAACAGAGAAUCCAUGGGAGAAGACUUGUUUUGGGCUAUUAGAGGUGGUGGAGGAGCAAGCUUUGGAAUCAUCGUCUCAUGGAAAAUCAAACUUGUGCCUGUCCCAUCCACUGUGACCGUCUUCAGAGUUACCCGCACCUUAGAACAAGAUGCAGAGAAGAUACUACUUAAAUGGCAGCAAGUGGCUGAUAAGCUCCAUGAAGACCUCUUCAUCAGAGUCUACGUACAGGCUGUGAAUGGCAGCCAAGAAGGGGAGAGGACGAUAAGCUCUACAUACGAAUCUCUAUUUCUUGGUAACACCAGUGGACUGCUCUCGCUAAUGAACGAGAGCUUCCCUGAGCUGGGGUUAGCGGCCGACGACUGCAAUGAAACAAGUUGGAUAGAGUCGGUGCUUUACUUUGCAGGCUUCUCUGGACAACCUCUUGAUGUUUUGCUCAACAGGAGUCAAACAUCCAAGAACUAUUUCAAGAAUAAAUCAGACUUUUUGAAGGAACCCAUUCCCGAAACUGGGCUGCAAGGGAUAUGGAAGUUGUUCUACCAAGUAAAAAAUGCAACGGCAUUGAUGAUCAUAAGCCCAUAUGGUGGAAGGAUGAAUGAGAUUCCAGAAACUGAAACCCCUUUCCCACACAGGAAGGGAAGCUUAUAUUCAAUCCAGUACGUAGUCGCCUGGCUGGAGGAAGGAAAAAAGGUGUCAAAAAGGCAUAUAGAUUGGGCAAGAAAGCUUCACAAGUACAUGGCUCCAUAUGUUUCCAAGUCUCCAAGAGCUGCAUAUCUCAACUAUAGGGACCUUGAUUUGGGAAGGAAUAAGAACGGAAACACAAGCUAUGCACAAGCCAGCAUUUGGGGCCUCAAGUACUACAAGAUCAACUUCAAUAGAUUGGUUCAAGUCAAAACCAAGGUAGAUCCAAGUAACUUCUUCAGGAAUGAACAAAGCAUCCCUCCUCUUUCAUCAUGGUGGAAGAAUUGAAAUUAAGAGACUAGAGGCACCUUGGCCAGUGGCCCAAACUAAUUCCUUUAUAAAGUUUUAUCUCAUUGGCAAAACAGGCGGUAAUAAGCAGCUUGAUGCAUACUAAAUAAACAUAUGUGCUAUCUGUAAUAAUGCAUUGUAUUGAUUUGUAAGAAAUUAAAAAAAAAAAAUCAAGCAAUGUGUUUAUUCUUUUCAACUUCAAUCUUCAAUUUUUCUGUCAGGAAAAUAAUUUUUCCUUUUUUAAAAAAAUUAUUCUUUGAAUUGCUUCUCAAAUGGUGUAUGGUUUAUUUUUUGCAGAACUUUGGAAAAUCUAUGCACUCUUUUCUAGAAUAAGCAAGUCAAAGAAUAUUUAUUUUUUUUAAAAUGUACAUGCUACUGUCAUCAUGUGCAUGCUCAUAUGUGCAUCGUUAUGAUCUUCGAUAACGUUUCUGCCAUAGCGUUUACUAUAUUCUUGCAUCGUUAUGAUCAUAUGUGCAUGCUACUGUCAUCAUUUAAAUCUAGGUUAUGUCCCUCAAGGCUCAACCCCUUAAAUUCUCACCAAGGUUUCCCUAAAAGCCACAUAAUUACGCAUUCUCAGGAAAUAAAAAAUAAAAAAUAAAAGGGACUAGUAGUUUGACAUAUUCCACUUUUGCAGAUUUCUUAGACUUGUGGGCAACAGAGCAUGCAGGAAAAUAAGGCCCAUAUUAGGUUAAUUGUUAAACUACAAGUGCAUUAAACAAUAUCUUGUCUGAAUGCUAUAAUUCAGCAUGGGUCUAACAGUUCAUAGUUUACUUAAUUCAUUAAUCAUCCUAGUAGCUAAAUCAUCGUAAUAUAGCUUCUGUAUUUUUCAGUUCAAUUGUCUGGCUUAAUAUGCCUAGCUCUCCCUUGAACUGGACCUUGGGACGCACUAAAAAUGUGACUUAAAAUCUCUUUCUUGGUUGUCCUGUGUCACCUCAAAUGAGAUGGAAAAGAAAAUACCAAACAGUUUCUGUUCAAUUACUUAGCCUCCAAUCGGACGAUGAUGAAAAGUAUUAGAAAAAGAAAAAUGAUACCGUGGCGAAAUACUAUGCAUUUGACUUCCAAGAUGGUUAGCUAUUAUAUAUAGAUGGAGGCAUGUUACUGUAAACUGCUCAAUUGGUCAGCUGCUUGCUGCAAUAAGCCAAAUUAAACAUGUCUUUAGCAGUCAUGAACCAUGUGCAGUCCAAUCUAGCAUAGUAUAAUUAAAUCGAGUGCAACGGCAAACAAGAAAGAACAGAAGAUUUAAAUUGAGAAAUAGAACGUGCUCAUUACUGAUCAAGAUAAGACCAUCAUUACAUAUAUUUAUCUGUUUAUUUAGUUAUUAUAAAGCCACUUGUAUUGUUUUGACAAGGAAAAGUCCAACCAGGAAUAUAGGGCAGUGGCAAGCUGCCUACGAUUCCUCAAACCUCAGUUCUUCCACCAUGGGGAAAGAGAUGGGAUGCACUGUUCAUUCAUGAAGAAAUUACUUGUAUCCAUUUUGGUUUUCACAUGAAUCAAUCUAUUUAAAUAUGUUCUAAAAAUAAUUUUUACAUUCACGGUUUUGUAUAAUUAUUUUCUAAAAUAACUCUAAAAAUAAUAAUAAUAACAAAAAAUGUUUUAUGAAAACACCAUGUUUUCUUUUAUUAAGAAGAGGAAAUAAAAAAUGGUUUUUUUAUUGUUAAAUGUUUUUUUUUUUUUCUUUCUAAAGAACAUAAAUUUUAUUUUUAAAAACAAUUAUCAAAUAAACAUUUUAAUCUUUCACAGGACACUAUUUUUGCCUAAAAGAUACAUAAUCACUAAUUUUAGAUCCAUUAUAAAAUCUAUACCUCUAUAACCUAUUUUUGUAACAUCAAAUUUCUAAACCCUAUAAUUUCAGAUAACCAACUAAAGCCUCCCCUUAUUAUCCCCUAAUAUUACUUCUUUCACUCCUCUUAGAUCCAUUAAAGUUUUUUUCUUCUUUACUUUAUUAUCGUCUUAAUAACCAAACUUUUCAUUAUCAUUUCAAAAUCAAUAAAUUAUUUUAUAUAUUUAUUUUAAUUCAUUUCACUUAUUUUCCUUGGUUAUAUAAAAAUUAAAUAAUUUUAAAAUAUAUUCUAACCAAUUAUAAUUAUAUUUGAUUUUUUUUCAUGUUUUUCAUGAUGAAACGGAAUAUAAGAAAAUCAUUUUUUUUUAAUAUCACCUUUUUCCAUUAGUACUUUCUAAAAACCAAAAAUAACGAUAGAGAAUUUCGACAAUUAUCACUAAUUGAUAAUCAAACUUAUUUAAUAUCGUGACAAUGAAUGAAAAUGUGAUUUUGAUCAUCAAUAACUCCCCCAAAUAACUCAACUAUGACAUUAAUAUUGAUGUCUCUUUCUACAAACAACUUGUUUAUUGAAAGCUUAGAAUGAACUAAAACCCAAACCAACAUCUUAACUUUAGAAGCGCACAUUAACUUCCAAAUUCAAUCAGUACUGUUGCAGGUAUAAUAGUGUAAUUAGCUUUUCCUUGUUCCAAUCCUUUUUAGUAGUCCAAGAAUCUUUAACCUUAAGAUUCUAAUCAAUCAUUUUCCAUUGAUUGGAUCCUAGAUUGUCAACUUUUUCAAUUAAGGCAAUGAGUGACUUAUUCAUUUGAGGAUUUAAAUUAACUGGAUUAAAAAAUUCGAGGACAUACAUCCAACCACAGAAUCUUUAAUAAUACUCUAAAAAUUUUUGCGAAGUAACUCAGGCAAUCCUUUGGGGCCUGGGGCUCUAGCAUUAGGAAUUUAGGUAAUAGCUUUCCUAAAAGACUUUUAAGUGGUGUUUGUUUUUUGACUGAAUAGAAAAAGUCAAAAUAUUUGACUUUUUCUAUUCAGCUAAAAGUAACAUAUUGAUACCAUCCGAUAUAAUUAAACUGAACCUAUUGAUAAUAAGUUCACUUUAGUUAUGUUGGAUGAUGUCAACAGGUUACUUUUAGCUGAAUAAAAAAAACCAAAAUAUUUAGCUUUUUUUAUUCAGCCAAAAAACAAACACCACCUAAAUAAGAUACACCAUAUGAUCUAAAUCUAUUAUAAAUUAUUCUUGGAUUAAAAUAUUUCCAAUCUCAAUAUGGACCUUAUACCAUAUUCCUACAUCAUCUUUUAUUCGGAAUGAAAAGAUUUGAGAUUUCUGCACGGGCAUUGGAUCCUUUUGUCCGAACUCUUUGACCCCAAUAAACUUCUUACAAUUGGGCUAAUAAUUUAAAUUUUCUUUUACCAUCUCAAUAGUUAGUUGAAUUAUCGAUAUUUUGGCAUCAAAUUUUUCAUAAAUUUAAGCUAAUAUAAAGUCUAUUAAUUGAAAACUUUAUUGCUACGUUUGGCUCUCAAUAAAGAAAGAAAAAAAAUGAUAAGAGAAAUAAUUUUCUCAUAUUGUGUUUCACUCUAUAAAGUACGAAAAAAAAUAUUUAUAAGAAUUUGAGGAUAUGAUGAUGUGCAAGACAAUCCUAUAUUAGAGGAUUAUCACCCUUGUUCUAAAGCAAAGAUCAAAUGAAACAAUCUCCCCAUUAUGACAAUCCACAUCUUCUAUUUCGCAAGAAGAAAAAAGAAAAAACUUAGAGAUGAUGAAGAUCAAAUGAACUGAAGUGAAUAGGAUAUUAGAGGAUGGAGAUGAGAAAUAUUUGGAAGGAGAUUAAAUCACUUUCCAUCAAAAAAAAGUAAAGAAGACAUGCCACAUCAGCCUAAAAUACAAUUGCUCUUAGUGAGAUGAACAAUCAAUUGAUGAAAACGACAUUUACGAGUCACUUAUAUAAUUGAGGUAGUUCAGUGGGAAAUUUUUUUUUAAAUGCCUCAAUGGUAGAUAAAUAGCACCAUCCAUAAAUAUUUUAAAUGGUUUAACUUAUGGUAGCAAACUAGCUGGCAUGAAUGGUUUUUAAUAACAUCCAUUUAACCUAAUUUCUUAUAUUUAUAUUAAAAAUUUUGAGGAUUUGCUUGGUAGCUAUUUUGAAAAACAAUUCUUAAAAAUAGUUUUUGAAAAUUAUUUUAAAAAUUAUUUUCUAAUUUUUAUAAAAUAAAAGUCUAAAACCUAAAAUGUUUUUAACCUAUUUUUAAAUAUGUUUUAAAAAUAAUUUUAUAUUUUUUUUUAUUUUUAAUCAUCUUACAUAUUUGUAUAAUUAUUUUUUUAAACGAUUAUAAAAAAACAAUUAAAAUAUGUUAUCUGAAAAUAAUUUAUUUUUUGUUUUUGAAAAUAAUUUAUUUUUUAUUUUUAAAAAUAAAAAACAUUUUUUAAUUAUCAAACACGUUUUCUAUGUUUUUUAUUUUAAAGAACAAAAAACUGUUUUCAAAAACAGCUUUCAAACAAGCCCUCUCAACCUUGAAUAUCCAAAAUGUCCCCAUCAAAGACCCCUAACGAUCUUACCAAUCAAAAUAGCCCAAAAUUUCUAACAACAAAAUAUAAUAUUUUAUGUAAAUGCAUUCGAACAAGGUUUGUUUAAAAAUUAAAUUACUUAAAUGAACCUAAACCCAAAUUUAUGACGGAAUAAUUUCUCAUUAUCUAUUAUGCUGUUGAUGUAGAAGUCCUCACGUUAACGACUUCUCUAACCAGAGGAGGCAUGCACCCCAGACGCAAAGCAUAAAAAACACCCUACAUAUUGAGGGUGGAUGGAUUGCUGUAAACCUUUGACCAUGAAUGUGUAUUGGCAUUUUCAGAUAGACAAAUAUUUUUUUUUUUUUUUUUGGAAUUAUUGAUUUUCUUAUGGCCACUUUGGUACUUCUCUUUUUAUUUUAUUUUAUUUUCUUCUUUAAUAUGUUGAACUGUUGACUGAAUUAUUGGUUGGUGAUAUAAAACUUGUAAACAAAAUGUUCAUCUAUUUAUUAUUACUUGAAAUUUUUUAAUAUUAUAGAAAAAAAGAAAAGGUUGUGACUUUUACUCAAGUGACAUCAUGCAUGAUGCCAGAUAAUGGCAAAGGGCUUCAACCAUCAAAAUUUCGUCACGAUUUUUCUAAUCAAAGCAAGACAAACAUCACAAUCAAUCUUUUGUCCCAUGAGAUUUGUAUUCAAAGUAAUGCGUGGGAGGUGGGAGAGACAGGUAUGUCACCUUCAAUUAAACACCCCAAAUCCAGACUUGUGCAGAGUAAGGUAGCUUAGGGUUGGAUACAUCUUAGACUGGCCUUACGUGCAGCCAUUCAGGCAUAUAUAUAUAUAUAUAUAUAUAUAUAUAUAUAAACACACACAGGAACAAGUAAGAUUUAGUUGUAUUGUACAGAGUAAGGUAGCUUUGGGUUGGAUACAUCUUAGACUGGCCUUACGUGCAGCCAUUCAGGCAUAUAUAUAUAUAUAUAUAUAAAUAUACAUACACAAGUUGAACAAGUAACAUUUAGUUGUAUUGUAUUGAAUUUUGAGUCCUUACAAGCCAACUUUUCCUUCUUUUAAUUCUCCUUUAAACAACGACGAAAUGGUAUGCAUGCAUCAAAGUAUCUUCUGGCUGCAUGCGUGUUCGAAUGAGAAAAGGAAUAAUCUCCUUUCAAACUUAGUCAUACUGCAGGCUAAUUAUAACCUAUUCAAAUAGCCUCACCUUGAGCCUUGAUGCCACAUGCAACUGUCAACUGAUGCUUGUGCACGUACCGCUCUUAUAAUCUCUUAGAAAAAAGUUCAAAAGAAAAUUUGAAGACAAACAUCACAAUCAAUCUUUUGUCCCAUGAGAUAUGUAUUCGAAGUAAUACGUGCAGCCAUUCAGGCAUAUAUAUAUAUAUAAAUAUACAUACACAAGUUGAACAAGUAACAUUUAGUUGUCUUGUAUUGAAUUUUGAGUCCUUUCAAGCCAAUUUUUCCUUCUUUUAAUUCUCCUUUAAAGUUUAAACUACGACGAAAUGGUAUGCAUGCAUCAAAUAUCUUCUGGCUGCAUAUAUACUUGUUCGAAUGAGAAAAGGAAUAAUCUCCUUUCAAACUUAGUCAUACUGCAGGCUAAUUAUAACCUAUUCAAAUAGCCCCAACUUGAGCCUUGAUGCCACAUGCAACUGUCAACUGAUGCUUGUGCACGUACCGCUCUUAUAAUCUCUUAGAAAAAAGUUCAAAAGAAAAUUUGAAGAGAGUUCGAAAGCUUUUCAUUAUAUUUAUUUGAAUUUUAAAAUCGUCAAACUUGAAAUCUAAUGCCACGAUUAAUAUUUCAAUAUGAUAACAACAAAGAGGAAGAAAAUGAGUUGUUGGGUACUGGAUUACACCCAAAAUCAAGGUGUUGAUGGAAACCGGAAACGAUGAUAACGGGUAUUUUACUCACCCAGAAAUAUUGAAAUUUUAAAAACCCCACUUCAACGACCUGAAACCCUAAACCACUGACUCAAUCAAUGGAUGGACAAUAGCCUUCACUGUGUGUACAUAUAUUGUUUAUAAAUGUCAAAUAUAUAUAUUGCCAAUUGGAGAGACAUUCUAGAUUUGUAUUUUGAAUAUGUGCCUAGGUUGAAACUUCAUAUCUUAUGUCGGGUGUACCUUGAAUUUUCCAAGGCUUGCUUUUUUCUUCACCUACUAACUUCAAUGACAUAAGUUUAAUGACUUUUAAGAUUACACAUCAUUAAAGAUAUAGAACGUAUCAUGAAUUUGUGAACUAUAAAAAGGAGAUCUCGUGCACUCUCUUGCACAAAGAUCAAGAGGCCAAAUGGGUAGUUCAAGCUGUGCAGAAACAUAUAUACUUGUUUUUACCCUUCUAUUCUCAUCAGUUUCAUGGGCUGCUUCAAGUUCAGUCCAUCAAAACUUUCUGCAAUGUCUUACCCUUAAUUCAAACUCCUCAACCCCUAUCACAAAAGUCGUUUACACCCCACACAACUCAUCAUAUGAAACUGUAUUGGAUUUCUCCAUACAGAACCUCAGAUUCACAUCCUCUUGCACCCCAAGACCACAGGUUAUAGUUACACCAUUGCUUGUGUCCCACAUCCAAGCAGCUGUUAUUUGCUCCAAGAAAUAUGGCUUGCAGAUCAGAGCCCGCAGUGGCGGCCAUGACUACGAGGGUCUCUCAUAUGUCUCUGAAGUCCCUUUCAUCAUCGUUGAUUUGCUGGAACUUCGAUCCAUCAAUGUUGAUGUUGAAGAUGGCAGUGCUUGGGUAGAGGCUGGUGCAACUCUGGGUGAAGUUUAUUACAGCAUUGCCAAUAAAACUGCAACUCAUGGCUUCCCUGCAGGCAUCUGCCCCACUGUAGGAGUCGGUGGGCACUUAAGUGGAGGGGGUUACGGGACAUUGUUGAGAAAGUAUGGCCUAGCAGCUGACAAUAUAAUCGAUGCUUACAUUGUUGAUAGCAAUGGUACACUUCUCAACAGAGAAUCCAUGGGAGAAGACUUGUUUUGGGCUAUUAGAGGUGGUGGAGGAGCAAGCUUUGGAAUCAUCGUCUCAUGGAAAAUCAAACUUGUGCCUGUCCCAUCCACUGUGACCGUCUUCACGGUUACCCGGACCUUAGAACAAGAUGCAGAGAAGAUACUACUUAAAUGGCAGCAAGUAGCUGAUAAGCUCCAUGAAGACCUCUUCAUCAGAGUCUACGUACAGGCUGUGAAUGGCAGCCAAGAAGGGGAGAGGACGAUAAGCUCUACAUACGAAUCUCUAUUUCUUGGUAACACCAGUGGACUGCUCUCGCUAAUGAACGAGAGC